rnacentral:sRNA from 1 species
AGAUGGCCUCUUCGACGAGGCCGGCGCUGUCGAAGUGCACGUGCACGUCGAUGGCGCCCGCGGUGGCGAUCAUGCCCUCACCGGAGCGGAUGUCGGUGCCCGCGCCGAUGAUCAGAUCGGGGUGCACACCGUCCAUGGUGCGCGGGUUGCCCGCCUUGCCGAUCCCGACGAUGCGCCCGUUUCGGAUACCGAUAUCGGCUUUACGGAUCCCCAACACGGCGUCGAUGAUGAGGGCGUUGGUGAUGACGAAGUCCAGCGCCCCAUCACCAUUGGUCAUGUCACCGUGCACAGCCAUGCCCUCG